UGUGUUUUCAAACAGUGAUAGUUAACGUUAGCCUUAGCCAUAUGAGGAUGACACAACUCUGUCUCAAAUAACUCGCUCUUCUUUGAGUACUGUUUUCUGGCCUCUCUCUCCCAUGAAAAAAAAAAUGUUACUUUCUAUGAACAAGCACUCCCCUUUGACUCUCCUACCAACAACCCUAAUUCAACCUCCGAUACUCUCCCCUCAAUACCUUAAACCCACUCUAAAACCCCGUAAAUAUAUCUUCCUUAUCCGGAGCUCCAUAACCCGACCUGAGAAUCAAGCCCUUCCUCAGUCUGCCAUCCAACGGAUUGCUGACAAGCUCCGGUCACUUGGAUUCUCUGAGACCCCAAAGCCACAACCUGAAUCCGAAUCUGGGUCCGGGUGCCCCGGAGAAAUCUUUGUCCCUUUACCAGAGAAGUUACCAAAGUACCGGGUCGGACAUACGAUUGAUACAAGCUGGAGUACACCGGAGAACCCGGUGCCGGACCCUGGUUCGGAUCCGGGGAGCUUGAUGGUAAGGUUUAGGGACAUGAAGAGGGAGAGGAAGAAAAUGGGGAGGGUGAAGGAGGAGGAGAGGGUGGUUCCAAGUUUGGCUGAGCUGAAGCUGUCUGCGGCGGAGCUAAAACGGUUGAGGACGGUGGGAAUUGGUGAGAAACGGAAGUUGAAGGUUGGGAAAGCUGGGAUUACGGAGGGAAUUGUGAAUGGGAUCCACGAAAGGUGGAGAAAGAGUGAAGUGGUUAGAAUUGUUUGUGAGGAUAUUUGUAAAAUGAAUAUGAAGAGGACUCAUGAGGUUUUGGAGAGAAAAACUGGAGGAUUGGUUAUAUGGAGAUCUGGAAGUAAAAUAAUAUUAUAUAGAGGAGCCAAUUACAAGUAUCCUUAUUUCUCGGCUGAUAAAAUAGGAACACAUGACAGUUCAUCCAAUGCUUCACCAGAUACAAAUGUGGCUAAUAAGGAACUCGAUGAAACAGAAAGCUGCUCAUCUGAAUUCAAUGGUGUAAAAACUUCUACUCCAAAAGCAACUGACAAAAUGACUAAACGAGCACUAAUCCAAGGUGUUGGCUCUCCAAGUAGGGUAAGGUUUCAACUGCCAGGUGAGGCAGAACUUGUUGCAGAAGCUGACCGCCUGUUAGAUGGAUUGGGUCCAAGGUUUACGGACUGGUGGGGAUAUGAGCCUCUUCCAGUUGACGGUGAUCUCCUACCUGCUAUUAUUCCUGGAUAUAGGAGACCUUUCCGCCUUCUUCCUUAUGGUGUGAAGUCACUGCUCACAAAUGAUGAAAUGACCACUUUAAGAAGACUUGGUCGACCCUUGCCCUGUCAUUUUGCGUUAGGAAGAAAUAGAAAACUUCAGGGAUUGGCUGCAUCCAUUAUCAAGCUCUGGGAAAAAUGUGAGAUUGCCAAAAUUGCUGUAAAGAGAGGCGUACAGAACACAAAUAGUGAAUUGAUGGCAGAAGAGUUGAAGUGGCUGACUGGAGGAACUUUGCUCUCACGAGAUAAGGACUUUAUUGUCCUAUAUAGGGGAAAAGAUUUCCUGCCUUCUGCUGUUUCUUCUGCAAUAGAAGAGCGGAGAAAGCAUGUAAUUCAUGCGGAGAAUCAGAGUGGAAAAACCAUGCAGGAGGUAAAUGGAGAGGGUACUAAAACUGCCUCUGAAAAUGAUAUUAAUAGUGCCAAGGAUCACAAAAGUGAUGUUUUCAGUGUCCGAAAGAACUUGAACUCUACUGAAGCAACUAUUAAAAGGACUAGCUCGAAGUUAUCUAUGGCACUGGAGAAGAAAGCAAAGGCCGAGAAACUUCUAGCCCAGCUGGAGCAGGAGGUGAUCCCUCAACAAUCUGAAAUUGACAAAGAGGGUAUAACUCGAGAAGAAAGAUAUAUGCUUAGGAAGGUUGGCCUGAGAAUGAAGCCUUUCCUCCUAUUGGGUAGACGGGGAGUAUUUGAUGGAACAGUCGAAAAUAUGCAUCUUCAUUGGAAGUACAGGGAACUUGUGAAGAUAAUUUCUAAGGAGACAAAUGUUGAAGCUGUUCACCAAGAAGCGCAAAUAUUAGAGGCAGAAAGUGGUGGAAUAUUAGUGGCUGUGGAGAGGGUAAGCAAGGGUUAUGCAAUCAUCUUUUAUCGUGGAAAGAACUAUGAACGGCCUACUUGUCUGAGACCUCAGACACUUCUUACUAAAAGAGAGGCAAUGAAGCGCUCUUUAGAGGAACAGCGGCAUAAGUCUUUGAAACUACAUAUUUUGAAGCUUACAAGAAACAUAGAUGAACUGAAGCACCAAUUGGUUGUAGACAAAGAGGCGAGUAACAAGCUAGCUGCUGACCAAUCAAGAUUGCCAUCGGUAGAAGAGGAAAUGGAGACAUUGCAGUCAGUCAAAUUUGCUAGAUCAGAUAUUGAAUAUCAUGCAUCUCCAGAAGGGCAUUUAGAGGCAAAAGACAAACCUGAGUCAACUUCCAUGAAAAAUGAUAGAAUGAUUGCUGCAGUUAGUAUUAGCGAGCCUUCUGAACAAGUGCUUGUGGAACCAUCUUCAAUACAUGAUGGGGUCGAGAAUCAUAAAACAGAAUCUGAAUUUUCAUCAGAAUCUGUGAACAGAAGAAAACAUAAUACCGAAUUGAGGGCUUUGCAUUCUCAAUUUGAAAUGGUUGACUCCUCAUCUCACCAUGAUAACCUUAUGGAAGAAAAUGCUUACAAUAAUGGGCCGAUGGAAUCAAUGGUCGAAUCUGCUAGCAAAAAUUUGGAUGUUUUGAUUUCACCAGCAGCUGACAAUGUGUCGAAUAAAAUGGCUUCAACAGCAAAGUUUCUGUCUAACAAAGAAAGACUUCUUUUACGAAAGCAAGCUCUCAAUAUGAAGAAACGUCCCGUGCUCGCAGUUGGGAGGAGCAACAUUGUGACCGGUGUGGCGAAAACAAUCAACACACACUUUAAAAAACAUCCUCUUGCUAUAGUGAAUGUGAAAGGGAGGGCUAAAGGGACCUCUGUGCAGGAAGUGGUGCUAAAGCUGCAGGAAGCAACUGGUGCAGUUCUAGUUUCUCAAGAACCUAGCAAAGUCAUACUAUAUCGAGGUUGGGGUGCCAAUGAUGAACCAGCCCGUGGUGAUAAGAGGAAUGUAAAAGAUUCACCGGUUCAGAAUCAGCCUGCUGUGUCCCCCGAACUUAUUGCUGCAAUCAAAUUUGAAUGUGGCUUGCAAUGCCACCAAGAGGAAGAGGCACCUUGACAAAUUUUGAAGGCAUAUAUUCAUUGGUCCUUCAACUGGAACAUAGGAACACUUGUCUAGGUCAAGCUGCCUCGAUACUGCUCUCCGCAUUCUCCAGUUAUGUUCAUCAAGCAAGUUGGUUGGGACAAAUUUGGUCGGGAUGGCAAUUGAACGAGACAUGGGUCACACUUGUAUGAGUGUUGAAAAGGAUACUAAUUAUAUGGGUAAUUGUUUAUCAACCACAUCGACAAAGGAUAGGUAAAGAACCUUGUCUCUUUGUGUUGAGGCACAACCUUGCUUUUCAAAAUUGAAUCAAUAAUUAAACUAGUUAGACCAUUGAUGUAACAUCUCAAAAUUUUCGGUUGGACAUCUGACACUAUUCCGAUAUUGUAUAUAGUGGAUCAGUGAGAAAAUUUGGAAAAUGAAUUGGAUAAAGGAAUCUUAUGGAAUCAAAGUUGGUAAUUGAGAUUGGAAAAUUUUGAAAA